rnacentral:rRNA from 1 species
AUUGAACGCUGGCGGCAGGCUUAACACAUGCAAGUCGAGCGAGCGGCGGACGGGUGAGUAAUGUCUGGGAAACUGCCUGAUGGAGGGGGAUAACUACUGGAAACGGUAGCUAAUACCGCAUACCAUCAGAUGUGCCCAGAUGGGAUGAGCUAGUAGGGGGGGUAAUGGCUCACCUAGGCGACGAUCCCUAGCUGGUCUGAGAGGAUGACCAGCCACACUGGACCUGAGAAAGGGUCCAGACUCCGAGGGGGGGCAGCAGUGGGGAAUAUUGCACAAUGGGGGAAAGCCUGAUGCAGCCAUGCGGGGUGUGUGAAGAAGGCCUUCGGGUGGUAAAGCACUUUCAGCGAGGAGGCGUUACUCGCAGAAGAAGCACCGGCUAACUCCGUGCCAGCAGCCGCGGUAAUA